UGGAGCAGAAGCGCAACUGACGGUAGUCACUUGUGACAGCUGAGGAAACUCCCGACUCAAACCGACGGCAGUCUGACGAAAGGAAGGAGGUGAGAGCCUCGCUCUGGGAACAGAAACGACACCCCCGAAUUGGAUACGACAAUGAUGCAGACUCGAAUCUGUUGAGGACCAGUUCGGAUAGGUUGAAACGGCCCAUCACUGUUGAGCAAUCUCAAGAAUACAUCGCUAAGGUGUCGGUCCAAGAUGUAGGGUAGAGAGCACAGUUAGAUGUUG
rnacentral:RNase_P_RNA from 1 species